ensembl:lncRNA
ACGGAAGGAACCAAGUCUGUCUCUUUUUUUUAGGUCACAGUAAAGGAAGCCAUUUGACUUCACUGUGGUAGUUUUGGAUUGUGUAGAGAAUGGUUAGGACUGUGGGUUUGCGAAUCCUAAAGACCUGCUUUCAAGCUUUGGUCCUGCUAACUAGCUGUUUGAGUUCAGGGUCAAUUGCCUUAUCUCCUUGGAAAAAUAAACUCACUGGAGGUGUCCAGACCAUUUCUGUGAUGACAGAUGAGCUAGAUGGUGGCAGGGCUGACUGGUGAUUGUGGCCCGCUUCCUAGUGGGUUUCCUGCUGCACAAAUCAUGACAGAAAAUCAAGAGACGAGAAUGUUCCUGCCAUUUGGUACAUAUAAACAUGGGUUAAAAAGCAGGUAACAUCCUCUACACCUGCUUCCGUCUGCACUUUGCUAUAUGAGCUCUGAUCCUUCUCGUCGCAUGUGAGUGCAUGUGACCGUUCUUGUUGUAGGAGGGUUCGUUGGUCUAUCACUUCCUCACUGCUUCUCAUGGGCAGACAACCUAGGCAAGCAACCACGUGAAAUCAACUGGAAAUUCCCUGUUUGACUAAAGCACUGAUAUUCCGGAUUAUGGUACGCUUCCAUCAGGGAGGUAUCUACUCUCUGUUUACUUCUAUAUCUAUGUUCUAGAAUUCCUGUGCUCCCAUAAAGUCUUAAUUUAAACUUUUAAUUAUUAAAAAAACUGAAUUAUAUUUCAUCAAGUUUGCUCAAAACAAAAAUGUAACCCAUCUCUGGAUAUUUAACGAGGAAAAGUUUCACUUGGCACAUGGGAUUUUGGGGUGGGUCAACUGGAAUGCCUCACUUCAUUAACUUGAUCUUAUUGAAUUUCCCAUGGUCUAGAACAAAGGCAGGCAAACUAUGGCCAGUAGGAUAAUCUGGCCUGCCACUUAUUUUUAUUUAAUUAUUUUUUGAGGUCAUUUUGGCUUAUAACAUUGUGUAAUUUCAGGUGUACGUUAUUAAAUAUCAAUUUCUGUAUAGAUUUCAUUGCCACUUAUUUUGGUAAGGCCUUGCAAGCUAAGAUUUUUUACAAGUGAAGGUUUUUACAUUUUUAAGUGGUUGAAAAAAACUUUCAAAAUGUUUUGUGAUGUGAAAAUUAUAUGAAAUUCAAAUUUUACUGUCCAUAUUUAAAGUUCUUUUGGAACAUAGCUGUGCUUGUUUGUUUCCAUAUUGCCUAUGGCUACUUUCGGGCUAAAAUGGCAGAGUUUAGUACUUGCAACAAAGACCUUAUCCAACAAAACCUAAAAUAUUUACUAUUUAGUCCUGUCCUGAAAAAGUUUGCUUGUCCCUCCUCCAGAGUAACAUUUCUCAAAUUUUAAUUUGCAUACAAAUUUGGGAUCUGGUUAAAAUACAGAUCUGAUUCUGUAGGUCUAGAGUGGGGCAUGAGAAUUUGAUACCGCCCUUCUAACAGGCUACCUGGUGAUGCUGAUGCUGCUGGUUUCAGGACCACAGUUUGAGAAGCAAGGCUCUAGACCACGAUCCUCACCAUAUGGGCUCACAACACUGAUAGCAGUCUGAUAAAGGACAAAUCUUUCAGGAAUGGGCUCAUAUUAACUAAGCUCACAAGAUCAAUGUAGAAACCUAGAAAUCUCAUUUAUUAAAUGGUUACUGAGAAAUAUGAUAGAGAUUGAUCCAGAGUCUUCUGUUCCCAUAGACAUGCCACCUGAGAUGCUGAAUUAGAGAAACGGAUAAGAAUGCACAGGAAACAGUAGGAGACAGUUGUGUAUUUAGAUUGUUCAAAGACUUCAGGUUAAUAGAGAUUUGCUAGCUUGCUGCCACUAGCACCAGGGUGGUAGUUUCAAAAUAUAUCUAGGAUUUGUUUUAAUCAGGUAUGGCAAGACACACAGACAUGGAAAUGACUGUCAUGAAAGAGAAAAUUUUUAUAUUCUCAGAUCUCUGGAAACAGAAGGCACAGCAUACAAUGCAGGGGGGCCACACAGGGAGCACCAGGGUUGAUUGGGAGGCAGAGGGAGUGAGGGAAAAACACGGUCAAGAACCUUUAUUGUGGUUUUCAAGGGAAGGAAUGGGAGAGGCAGGAUAAGCAGGCUUAAGAUUGGCUAGUUUGAAUCAUUUCAGCAGGCUCUGGGGUUUAGGGCCUGUUGCUGGUUGCCUGAUACCUGGCACUGGGGUGAUUAGGGGAAGUGGAUAGCGGUCCAGAGUGUGAAAGCUACAUAAACGAGGGAGCUGGGAGUAUGGGCUUUGAUCAGUUGGUCUGUAUUUGAAAGUGAGUCGCUUUAAGUUGUUUUCUCUCUAGAAAUUAGCUAGCCCUGGCAGGGGCAGUCUCUUCAGCGUCAGCAAGGCCCCAGAUGUGAAAACACCAGAAAAUCCAGAAAAUAAAAAGGCAUGAUUGAUACAAGUGGGUCUUUGGACCAAGGCACCCUUAUUUAAAAUGGUUAUGGGAUGGACACUGCCCAUACACACCUCUUUGAUUAUUUCUUUUUUCUGUGUUUUUGUGAUUGACCAGCUUCCCUUCGAAUUGACAUAUUCCUCCUUCACAUCUGCUCAUUAUUUUAGGGUAUGGAAGAGUCCUUGAGGUUUGGGGAUCUUUCAGCCUCUUUUAAUUGAUCUUGUGUGUUGAUUAUCAAGUUCAACAUGGCUCCAAUCCAUCAUGUGUUGAUUACCUAGUUUAAUUCAGAAAACAAUCUUACUUUGCUCACUACCAGGCUGGAGAGGGUCUGUUCUCUAUAGUGCCCAACACAGACAACACUAUAAUUAAUAUAUACAAUAAUUUCAACUUAAUAUAACUGUUUGAAUACUUGUAACACCCUGCUUCAGACCAUAGAGCCCUCAUUCUUUUCCAGUGGGUCACAAAUUGCUGAUGGUGACAUUUAAGUGGUGGAUCUGAAUGGGGACCAUUUUUAAUGACUCUAUGGUCACCAAGAGGAUGAAGGUGACACUGUGGUCAUCUAUAAGCUUCUGGACAUGCCUCUUUCUCCACAGAGAUGUCUACAACCCAUAGGGAGAGAGAAAAGUUGUGGCAGAUGCCAUUUGCUUAAUCUAUAGGUUGAUUUUGAACGAUCUUUCUGGGAGUCCUGCCCUAGCCACUCCAGCCAAAGAGAAUUGCUUGUAAUUGCUGCAAGCUUCAUCCCACCUCUCAUUUAUAUCACAUAGUAAUUCCCUAGUCUUGGGUCACUGUUCAUUAUCUUAUGAAAUUAUGCCAUGGUCUUUUAAAGGAUUUCCCUGCCAAUUUUAAAUGUGUCUUAAUGUUAAAGUCAAGAGGAGGAGUAUUGAGAGAGAACUGGAUCUGUGUCCUUGUACUAAUUACAGUGUGACCACGACUGAAUCACUUCUUCUCUUUGGCCAUCAGUUUCCUCAUUAAACACAUAGAAGAAGGAUUUUGGAUUACAUAAUUCCCAUGGGCGCUUCCAGUUUUAAAACACUAAGCUUGACUGAAGUGCUUCUGUAAGGUAUUCAUAAAAAUGGGGUUCACUUCUUUAUUGGCACAUUCCUGAAAUAUGCUGUAUGGUACUUUGGACCUCCAUUUAGCUUUUAUUUCUUUUUCCUGCCUGGUGUUCUUGUUACUUGUUUAAAAAUCUGUUUCAAUUUCUUUCAUCAAAAAGUAAAAAAAAAAGGUUAUAAACUUUUUGGGGUAGACAUUUUAUUCGACUUUGUAUCCCCAGAAUUUUGAAGAAAGGGGCCAUCUAAUAGAUUUUGGUUGAAUUACAUUAGCGUGGGAGUGCCCUUGAAGCAAAUAACUUUGCGUAGCAGGAUCUUAAAAGGUUGAGAAGUUGUAGCCCCGCACAAUAAGGUAGGACUUUGACAAGCUAGUUGAUUGGAUGUGUGGCAACCCCUGGUGUCAUGUAGCACUAACUACAUUUAUAAAAUUAUAAAAUAAUUUUGUUUCUCUGGGAAACAUUGAAAGAGUAACUUGACUUUAAAUUUCUUCAUGUUCCAUUAUAUUUCUCAUGAUUAAAGUAACUUCUGAUAGCUCCGUAAUUAGGUUUUAUCUUACUCCUGCAAGGAUCAAGGAAAUUUUUGCAUUGAGAUGGGAACUUUCACAUUACUCAUGGCUUGUAGAAGGGAAGACAGUCCAGCUAGAGUAAUGUGAACGCCAUACCUAUAUAUGUUUUGUUGGAUUUAAGAAAAAUCUUAAGAAGCAUAAUUUUUUCUCUUAAAGCAUUUCCACUUACAUGCAAUGUUUUUGAUCAGAAAACUAAAAUGUAGCAGCGGGUGGGAAUGGGGGGAGCCAAAUAUAGAAGUGGUGCCAACAGAUGCAAAAAUGCCGUGGAAAUCUUUGGCCCAGAAAUAAUAGCUUACCAAAAUACACACACACAGUUGUUGGACUCUUGAACAGAUACACAGCCGUCUGUAGAGACAACAGUGCUGUUGGCCAAGAGUCCCGGAGACAGGCCAACCUCCCAUCCAGAUGCCACUGCCAGUGAGGAACCAUUUGGCAUCUAAUUCUCUGGCUGCCAACCUUCUUUCUCACUCUCUGGCAUGAAUUUUUACAGGGGCUGCUUGAGUAAAUUAAGACUCUGAAGAGUUCUGUUUUACUGUGCUGUAACAACACAGUGCCACAGGAGCCCUUUACGCUAUUCGAAUGCUUUUAUCUUUUUUUUUUUUUAAGUGUGAAAGAAACCUGACUUCUAUGUAUUUGCCUAUAGAUAAAUGCAAUUGCUUUGGAAAUUAAGAAUGAUAUAUUUUGAUUUCUGUAUGGAGCCAACUUUCCUUAACCCCAAAAUACCUUGAGACUUUUUAAAGCAUGAGCAAUUUGAAAGAAACAAGCCCCAACCUCCAAAAAAAGAAAGAAAGAAAAGGAAGAAAUAAAAGAUGAUAAAAGGAGAAAAAGAAACAAAAUAUACUGAUCUUUUUGGGAGAGUGAAAGAAAUUGUUCAUAUCUCCUCAGCCCUGGCAAACUGCACGCUGAAAAAUUUCCUACUAGUCAAAAGAAUGCAAUAAGCACACAUAUUUUUUCUAAUGAAAACUGAAUAGGUAUCAAUAUACUUCCAUGAGAGUUUGCACAUAGCACCAACUUCCCAGGAAGGAAAAAUCAACAUGAGCAGUGUCUCCUCAUCUUGUAAUCUCAUCAAAUUCCAAUUUCUGCUUAAGUGAGGUUGUACCUGGCACUGGUGCCACUUUGUACUUCCCAGCCCCUCCUACCAGGAGAGGCCUCUUCACCCACUGCCUGCUUAUCCCCUCCCUCACAUCAGUGGAGCUGGGCACCAGACAGAAUCUGCUGAAAGAGCUGGCUUCUUUUCAGCAGGCUCUUUGCAAGAGCAAAGUUUUGAGCUUCUUCUGAUCAAAGGUGAGAAUUAUCAGAGGAUGGCAUAAUACGUGAUGAUUUUGAUGAAUUUAGAAACAUGCCAUAGUUUAAAUCACAUAUUUUAAUUUGUACGACAAAUAGUACUUUUAACUUAAAUUUCUGUAACGUCAAAAUAAAACAUUAAACUGCUAUUUCAUGCUUCAAGAGAAAAGGAAAAGCAAAAGAUCAAGCUUCCAUGGCUUAUCUGGGCUCUGCUAGCUAAUUUUAUGUAAAUAUAACAUUUGAACUGGGGGGGAUAUUUUUUUGUGGACUCCAUAUUCUUUCUCCAAUUUCCCCACAAAAAUACAAGGAACUCUUGAGGUUGUCUUGUUAGAGUUUGAGGCACAAAAUAAGUGAUCUUAGCCAUACAGAAAGCAAUGUUUUCCCUGGAGACCUUCAAUGGGGCUGCCAUGUUAACUUUACCUGAAGCAACACUAAUUGCUCUCAGAUCUCUAAGUAUCAUUGACUUUGAUAAAUUAUCCUCAGAGAGUCAUGAACAAAUGAAUCAAAUGCUCAUCAUCACAUUCAGGAGAUAGAAACAUUUUUACAACAAGGAAUAAUAUAUCAGGCAGCCUACUUAUGUACUGCUGUGUUGCAUAAAGAUUUCUUGAUGAGCCAUACAACCCUGUCCAGGUAUAAAUUGUGUGACUAAUGCAUUGAAGAGAUAGCUUAAUCAUAGAAAAGCAUGUGGCCAAGGUACACUGUAGAAAACAUAAUAUUUCAUUCCUUUUUUGACCAAAACAAUGUCUAUUCUGUCAUUAGGGUCAACUGUAAGUAUUCAUUUCCCAACUGUACAUUAAUAUUAAUAAAAUCUUCCAUUUUUCUGUUGUGCAAAUGUGAUGAAAUUGUUACUGAAAACAUCGAAGUGCUGUUUAGGUAAAAGUUCUUCAAUAGCAUGUAAAAUACUUUACAGAAAAGUAACUGCUAUACAAAUAUAUGGACAAUAGCAAUACUGGUGGUCUAACGUCUCCUUAGAAAUUUUCUAAUUCACCAACCUAAAUGGAGUCUGCUGUAUUUACUCUGUAUUCUCUUCUUUUAUGAUUUCAUCUAACUCUACAUUUUAGAAGAAAACCAACUGGUAUUUUCUCUACACAAUUCUUCACUUUCUGUUUCAAAGAAAGAGAACAUUAUUUAUCUUUUUUGGGGAACAGUAACUACUAAGAAGAGC